rnacentral:lncRNA from 1 species
AAGUUAUGCUCUUAAACUCAAAACUAGAAGAGAUAACCAAGUAUGUAAGGAUGCUGAAUAAUGGAUCUGACUUCUUAGACAAGAUUCUCCACAUUGGACCAAUCACAAGAGCCAAAUCUGGAAUAGGGUACCAUAAAUCUAAGGUUGAAAGCAGUUACACUAGUUGCAAACCUCAAGCUAAACCUAAAUGCAGCAACAGUAAGAGCAGUCCUAAGAUGUCACAUCAUAUGUCACAUCAUCAGAAGAGAAAACAGCAGAAAGGCAAACACCAAAGAUGGA